CGGCCUCAAAUUCUACUCAAUGGCCUCAAAAUCCUCCUUGGGGACUCCAAAUUCAUCCUCAGCGGCCUCAAAUUCUACUCAACGGCCUCAAAAUCCUCCUUGGGGACUCCAAAAUCCUCCUCGGCGGCCUCAAAAUCCUCC
rnacentral:lncRNA from 1 species